GCAGAAUCAUAUUCUCUCAAAGAGUAAGAAAGCCAAGGUCGUAGUAAUAGCAGUGUGCUCUUUCCUUCCUGUAAGCUCCAAUGUGGAGUGUGCUUGUAUUUCAAAAAGUCGACAGAAUGCCAACAUUAUUGUACUACAAACGCUUGCCUUCCAUAAGGAGAGGAUGAGGACCCGCAAGGCUUUGAAAUUUUGAUAAAAUUUGGUGCAUUAUUAUGAUGGAGAGAUUGACCCCAUAUCAUCGAUCCUCUUUUCUAUUUUUUGGUCUAAAGUUCAAAUGAUCUUUUCUUAUAUUGCUUAUAAUUAAGCACGUGUUCUUUUAAAAAUGUAUAAUAUUGCCCGUUUAGUAAUCAUUAUUGAUCAUGAUUUGUCCCUUGACUGAUCUGAUGCAAAUAUCGAUGUAACAGUUGCAAGCAGCUAGGUAAUGAAUACUGAAUAGUACUUGGCAACGAAACUUAUUAGCCAAGGUGGGGUAUUAAUUUAUUAUCACUUAAUUGUCAAUUAUUGAGAGUCUCUUCUACAUUGUGACUGGUUUCCUAUGACAAUGGCGAAGAAGACGAGAUCUAGUUUAAAAAUAAAUGUUUUGGAUAUUUUUUUUUAAAUCCGACCUAUCUAAGCGCCGUAUAAAUUAAUCGAGUUGCUGAUCAAUGUCUCGUGCCUAAGCGGGGACUAGGCGAUCAUCCAAUAAGAUUUUUAGAAUACUGGCUGAGAGAAUAUUGCUCCUACAUAGUCUAAACAUUUGUUUGUACCAUAAUUGACUGCUUGAUGACACAUCGCAAGCUAAUGGCGCGGGCUGUAUCGUAUAUCUACUCAUUGGGGAGGCUCAGUUUAUUGUUUGAGGUGUAGAUAAAGACAUUAAAGAGCAUAUCCACGUGGGAUCAUAUACAAACAUUGGACAAAGUGUAACAUCUGAGGAACAGAAGUGGGAAACUGAGUACACCAAAUACUAUUUUGAGAUGAAGUCUGGCUUCGAUGAGCAAAAUGAUCGACAACCAUGUUUGCCUCUCGGUAAAUAUGAUUGAAGGAAAUAUUAAUAAAAUGAGCAGAAAGAUGAUUGAUAUCCUAAAAUAAGGUGAAGAUCCUCCACGGCGCCUUAUAGAUAUGAUUGAUCAUGUUGAUUAGUAGUAAGGAGUCACCUUCAACUUGAAGUGACUACCAACCUUUAUGGAGCAUCAUGUUUGAUAUCUACGGGUUCCAUAUGUGUGUAGAUUGAUUGGUGAA